UGACAUGUUGUCACAACUGGGCAUCUUAUGAAACUGUUAAGGAACAAAUUAACACUAUGGAAGUGGUAUUUACUGAAAUAAAAAACAAACAGAAGAGCAGGCACAAUGAUCACAUCAGUAAGAGCCUGGGGUGGGGAAGGAGCUGGAAAACAGAGACUCUUACACUGGACAUGUGGACUAUGUUCCAAAGGGACAUAGUUAGGAACUCUGAAAUUUUUAUUAAGAGUCCAGAGUGCAGACUUCACGUGUAAGUGUAUGGCCAGCUUAGUGAGAAUCAGCUUCAGGGUGAUGCUCAGAAAUAGGGAUGCAGUGUGGAGUAUCUGAGGCAGAUGACUGAGAAUAUGAGCCUAUAUGACAUGGGAACUCUACUCAAAUGAGUUAGGCCCUGGGUGCUGUCUCCUGGGAAGGCCUUGCAAGCAAAUGGUGCAAUUGAAAAGGGUUACCAAGAAGAUGAGUUAAAAUGACUGAAUGCCAGAGAAAUCCAUCCCUGUCUUUUUUUAACCCAAGGACGGCAAGUCUGGGUGAAGCCAGGCAAGGUUUGGAGAAUGUGAAGGGAAUAUUGUGGUGGUGCUAUAGGUGCUUGCCUUCUGUCUCUAAAGACAGCACACAAGAAAAUGGGCACUAAUGGUAACACGAGAGAAAUAGAUUUGCAGCAAAGGAAACCACCUAUGGCAAAAGCUGAGAGAUUGAAACAUUCAUUAAAUGAAAUUUGUAUGUAUUUUCUGGCUGCACAUAGAGAAACUAAACAGUAAAUUCAGUGCCAUGUUUUUUGGGGUUUCCAGUGAGUGUGAUGGACAAAACGUCUCUUUUUCUCCUUCAAAUUCUCUUUCUUUUUAAGAUUUUCUAAGACCACUUUUGGUUUACUUUUUAUCCCAGUGAAUACUAUUGUUGAAAAAUGGCAAACUUUCCAUAAAUGAAUACAUUUCUUAAAAAAAAAUGGGUACACCUGACAUAACACAAAAUGCAUGCUUUUCAGGAAGUUUUAGUACAUGCAAAUGCUGUGCAACCAUUGCCACUAAUUACAGAACAUUUUCAUCACUGCAGAAAGAAACCUCACACCCAUUAAGCAGUUCCUACCCAUACUCCUCUCCCUCAAACACCUUCUCUCUCUAUGGAUUUGUCUUAGGAAUGUAUUUCUUUUGGAAUCUUACGAAUUCUGCAUUUAAUUUUACACCUAGAGAGCAGUGUUGCAGUGACCAUUGCUUAUUCUGCAUUUAUUUGUCCUGGUGAGCACAUCAGAUACAGCAGAGGAAACUUAGGAUGCCUGACCGGUAAGUUAAACACAACUUAAAAUAAUGAAACUUCUUUUGUAGCCAUAACUACUUAUCAAUUUUAAAUUAAAAUACACAUUUUAUUCUGCCUGGAAUUUUAAAAAAGUUAGGUAACCUAUUUAAUUUAAAAACUUGGAGAAUGAACUAGAAAAUGUUUUAUAGGGCAUUUUUUUGUAAACUGAUUUAAAACUUGCAUGACUUCCUUCAUUAUGAUUAUACUGACAGGAAACUUGUGUUGUCUAAAUUCUGGAAAAGAUACAUACAACUUGAAAGAAAUAUUAAUUUUCAUCCAGUCAAGUAAUUCCUCAGAAGGAGGAAUAGCUAGUCUGUUGGGUCUUGUGACUUCAGUGGUGCCUUUGUAAUCUAGACUGUCAAGGCCAGGAGAUUACUGUCAUUUUGCAUUUUGUGUAUUUUGAGGAGUUUUAUUCCAUUUUCAUUCUCAAUUCCUUUCCAUUUCAUAAGCCACAACUAAUUAUCUUAACCAUUUCCACUAGUAAGAACUGGUUGUGGUUGUGGUGUUACAGAUCUUGCCUGUUUUCUUUCCAAAUUUCUUAUCCACAUGCUUCACGGUAGUCUCGCCUCUUCUUUUUGCCCCCAUUCUCUCGUUUUUUGACUUCUGAGGACUCCUUGAUGACGAUGGAAAACAGAGUCUCUGCCUCACAUUGUGAAAUGUGCAUGACUUAGCUACUAUUCCAACAAACAUUUCUCAGACAGUGUGGGCCGGAAGUAAUUUUUUAACCAACCGAAUCUCCUUUAAGCUACCUGGAAGUUGGGGCAGCACAACAUACUUGUCUUGUGGCAAGUACAAAUUAAUGUAAAGCACUUGGGGGUCCUCAUUGCUGAGAGACUGCGGUGAAUCUUUGGUGCCUUGUUUGAGGACCUAUCAACAAAAUUUAUCUCCUGGAAGAGACUGCCAUAAUGUGGAAGGUGUUUGAUUCCUCGGUUCC
rnacentral:lncRNA from 1 species